rnacentral:rRNA from 1 species
CAGUCGCCGCGGUAAUACGUAGGGUGCAAGCGUUGUCCGGAAUUAUUGGGCGUAAAGAGCUCGUAGGCGGUUUGUCGCGUCUGCUGUGAAAACCCGAGGCUCAACCUCGGGCCUGCAGUGGGUACGGGCAGACUAGAGUGCGGUAGGGGAGAUUGGAAUUCCUGGUGUAGCGGUGGAAUGCGCAGAUAUCAGGAGGAACACCGAUGGCGAAGGCAGAUCUCUGGGCCGUAACUGACGCUGAGGAGCGAAAGCAUGGGGAGCGAACAGGAUUAGAUACCCCUGUAGUCCCUGUCUCUUAUAC